rnacentral:misc_RNA from 1 species
ACUGUCUAGCUCUUCUGCUUUAAAAAACCCUGGCGGCCAGAGAUCACCGAGCUUAUUCCUCCGGUUAGGGUUUUCUUAUUCCAGUAAACAACAAGCAACAAUGGCGGAUGUGGAGACAGAGGUGGCUGCAGGACAGCCGAAGAAGAGAACGUUCAAGAAGUUUAGCUUCAGAGGUGUGGAUUUGGAUGCUCUCCUUGAUAUGUCCACUGAUGAGCUUGUCAAGCUCUUCCAUGCCCGUGCUCGGAGAAGAUUCCAGAGGGGUCUGAAGAGGAAGCCCAUGGCUCUGAUCAAGAAGCUGCGCAAGGCGAAAAGGGAGGCCCCACCUGGUGAGAAGCCAGAACCUGUUCGAACCCACCUACGAAAUAUGAUUAUUGUACCUGAGAUGAUUGGAAGCAUCAUUGGUGUGUACAAUGGGAAGACCUUCAAUCAAGUUGAAAUCAAACCUGAAAUGAUUGGUCAUUAUUUGGCUGAGUUCUCAAUCUCAUACAAGCCUGUUAAGCAUGGUAGACCUGGUAUUGGUGCCACCCACUCAUCUAGGUUCAUUCCUCUCAAGUGAAAUGUUUGGUUGCAGUUGGAUGCUCUAGUUCUUUCCUAUUAUGUGAAGACGCCUUUGUUGAUCAAAUUUAAAUUUGGCAAUUUUAGGUCUUUAAACUCUUAUUAUAGAGAUUUGGUCCCUACUUCUGGAUUGAAGAGCUGUGUCUUGGUUUUUUUUAUAUGUUUAUGGUAGUCUAAAUACGUUACUGGAUUUCUUAAUUUUACACUCGUAAUUUUGGCUAAAAUUCAUUUAGAUGAUAAAUAUUUCCUAUUUCGUUACAGUGAACUCGUACUUAAUAUGAUAAUAAUUUUAAAUCUGUAUUCCAAUGAAUACAAUCUAUUUUGUUGUGUGUGCUCUGUUGGGGAGAAAUUGUUGAUUAGAUUGUGUUUAAUUGCAAGUUUCUUAAGUCCUAUCUAAUGUAAUUUGAG